AUUGAACGCUGGCGGCAUGCCUUACACAUGCAAGUCGAACGGCAGCACGGGAGCAAUCCUGGUGGCGAGUGGCGAACGGGUGAGUAAUAUAUCGGAACGUGCCCAGUCGUGGGGAUAACGUAGCGAAAGCUACGCUAAUACCGCAUACGAUCUAUGGAUGAAAGCGGGGGAUCGCAAGACCUCGCGCGAUUGGGAGCGGCCGAUAUCAGAUUAGGUAGUUGGUGAGGUAAAGGGCUCACCAAGCCGACGAUCUGUAGCUGGUCUGAGAGGACGACCAGCCACACUGGGACUG
rnacentral:rRNA from 1 species